ensembl:misc_RNA Metazoa_SRP Metazoan signal recognition particle RNA
GCUGGGCGCGGUGGCUCACGCCUGUAAUCCCAGCACUCUGGGAGGCCGAGGCUGGAGGAUCGCUUGAGCCCAGGAGUUCUAGACUAGCCUGGGCAACAAAGUGAGACCCCGUCUCUA